rnacentral:rRNA from 1 species
AGUAACUGCGAGUGAAACGGGAAAAGCUCAGCGCUGAAUCUCUUUGCUGUAAUGGUAAAGCGAACUGUAGCGUAUAGCAUUUAUUAUUAUAUGAUAUAUAAUAUCUUAAGUUCUCUUUGACUAGAGUUCCAUAGAAGGUGAUAGACCUGUUAAGACAUUUUAUAUAUUAUAUUUAAUUUAUGCUUUGAGUCGGGUUGUUUGGAAACACAGCCCAAAGUAGGUGGUAAACUUCACCUAAAGCUAAAUAUAUGUAUGAAUCCGAUAGCAAACAAGUACCGUGAGGGAAAGUUGAAAAGAACUCUGAAGAGAGAGUUAAAUAGUACGUGAAACUGAAUGAGUGGAAGCGUAUAGAGUUGUCGAAAGAUGGUAAUAAUAAGUUCUGUACGAAUGUAACAGUUUAUAAAAUGUUUUCGAAAGGAUCAUUUUAUAAAUGUAGUUUAUUUUUAUGGAAUGCACUUGUUGCCAUUGUGCUGAUACAAUUGAUUGAGAUUUUUGAAAUUAUAUUAGAGGGCAUUCUUCGGAAUGUAUCCUGGUAUAAUGGAUAAAAUUUUUGGUUAAUUGUCCUUGUAAUGAUUAAAGGAAAGAAUAAAUUUUGCGGCAUUUAAGAGUUAACGUUUACGUUGGCUUUUUUAAUCUGUAAAAUUUUAUUUUGUACGAUAGUCAUUAUAUAUCAGUAUAAAAGACAAUCACCUAUAUGUCCCGUCUUGAAACACGGACCAAGGAGUUUAUUGUAUGUGCGAGUCAUUAAGUGAUCAAAACUUAUUGGCGUAAUGAAAGUAAAGUAUUCUUUAUGAAUAUGAUAUAUGAUUGUUUUUCGUUUACGAAAAGCAAGUAGUAUAGUCCCAUCUAAUUUGCUUGCAAAUGGGUGGAGAUAGAGCAUAUGCAAUGAGACCCGAAAGAUGGUGAACUAUGCCUGAGCAGGAUGAAGUCAGAGGAAACUCUGAUGGAAGUCCGAAGCGGUUCUGACGUGCAAAUCGAUCGUCUGACUUGGUAUAGGGCGAAGAC